AUAAUCCUCGUUCCUUGCAUAGUGUUUGGGAGUAUUAUUUGGCUUCUUCCUUGGAAAAAGACAAACUUUCAAAAAGAUGUCGAAGAGGAUUUAAGAGUGGGUGAAGCGAUGAAUGUUUUAAAAAUAUCUCACAGUGAUGGAUAUAUCUUAAAAAGAAAACAAGCCGAGGAAGCCGAAAAAUUAUUAAGGACUAAACUGGCAUGGCUCCCUAGAAAUUUCACAGUGCCAAACAUCUUUCUUCAAUCCGACAAGCAAUCUGUCUUAAUGCAGGAAGGAAAGAAAGAUAAUCGAACACUCGUGUUUGUUCAUCAUCCACGGGCGGCUGGGGGUCACGUGAUAAACUGUCUGAACAACUUAUCUUAUACCAAAAAUAUGGCUAUGUCACCAGUGAUGAAUUCCAAAACCAGGUUACUAUGGGAUGCCGGAAAUCCUGAUACUGUUACAUUUCAAAAUCGAAUCAGCAUCCAUCGAGGGGGCUCAUCGCUUAGAUUCCUCUACAGAGACUCUUAAAUACCCGUGCUGGCACCGACAAAAGAUGGAAAACGAUAGAUUAACUGACAAAGAAAAAGAAAACGUUGCUAAUUAUAUAGCCCGCAAUCUGAGGCGAUGGUUCUCAGUGAUAGGGGUGUUCGAUAAGUGUGACGAAUCCAUGGCUAUGUUUGAGCAUGCUCUUGGAGAAACUUUCUCAAAAUGUUCUUCAAACAGAAAUGUGAGGUCAUUUCAAGAGGAGACAAUGAUGACAAACAAAGCUCAUUUAUUGUCUAACGAAGACAGGUUGUCUGAUGACGAUGACAGCGAGGAGUAUGAAGAUGACAUUGACAUGCUUAGAGACGAUUUCUACGUACAAAGGGCUCUGUCGCCCUCUAACACGAUUUAUGCAGAGGCUAAACGGGUAUUUAACAUUCAGAGACAAAUUUUAUACAAUAAAUUGAAUAACAACUGAU
rnacentral:misc_RNA from 1 species